rnacentral:rRNA from 1 species
CGCGUGCACUGGCUCGGCUGGGUCUUUCCUUCUGGAGAACCGCAUGCCCUUCACUGGGCGUGCCGGGGAACCCAGGACUUUUACUCUGAACAAAUUAGAUCGCUUAAAGAAGGCCUAUGCUCGAAUACAUUAGCAUGGAAUAAUAGAAUAGGACGUGUGGUUCUAUUUUGUUGGUUUCUAGGACCGCCGUAAUGAUUAAUAGGGACAGUCGGGGGCAUCAGUAUUCAAUUGUCAGAGGUGAAAUUCUUGGAUUUAUUGAAGACUAGCUACUGCGAAAGCAUUUGCCAAGGAUGUUUUCAUUAAUCAGGAACGAAAGUUAGGGGAUCGAAGACGAUCAGAUACCGUCGUAGUCUUAACCAUAAACUAUGCCGAUUAGGGAUCGGACGGCGUUAUUUUUUGACCCGUUCGGCACCUUACGAUAAAUCAAAAUGUUUGGGCUCCUGGGGGAGUAUGGUCGCAAGGCCGAAACUUAAAGAAAUUGACGGAAGGGCACCACCAGGGGUGGAGCCUGCGGCUUAAUUUGACUCAACACGGGGAAACUCACCAGGUCCAGACACGAUGAGGAUUGACAGAUUGAGAGCUCUUUCUUGAUUUCGUGGGUGGUGGUGCAUGGCCGUUCUUAGUUGGUGGAGUGAUUUGUCUGCUUAAUUGCGAUAACGAACGAGACCUUAACCUGCUAAAUAGCCCGUAUUGCUUUGGCAGUACGCCGGCUUCUUAGAGGGACUAUCGG